rnacentral:rRNA from 1 species
AUUGAACGCUGGCGGAAUGCUUUACACAUGCAAGUCGAACGGCAGCACGGACUUCGGUCUGGUGGCGAGUGGCGAACGGGUGAGUAAUAUAUCGGAACGUGCCCAGUCGUGGGGGAUAACGUAGAGAAAAUUACGCUAAUACCGCAUACGAUCUAUGGAGGAAAGCGGGGGACCUUUCGGCCUCGCCCGAUUGGAGCGGUCGAUAUCAGAUUAGGUAGUUGGUGGGGUAAAGGCUCACCAAGCCAACGAUCUGUAGCUGGUGUGAGAGGACGACCAGCCACACUGGGACUGAGACACGGCCCAGACUCCUACGGGAGGCAGCAGUGGGGAAUUUUGGACGAUGGACGCAAGUCUGAUCCAGCCAUUCCGCGUGCAGGACGAAGGCCUUCGGGUUGUAAACUGCUUUUGUACAGAACGAAAAGGUUUCUACUAAUACUAGGAGCUCAUGACGGUACUGUAAGAAUAAGCACCGGCUAACUACGUGCCAGCCGCCGCCGUAA